rnacentral:rRNA from 1 species
AUGCAAUGGUAAGAGAGCAGAAGUUAAAACAAGGUCAAUCGAAAAGACAUUUAAUUGAAAGAAUACAAGAUAGUAUAAAUCUUUGUGAAUAAAAUUGAGUGCGGGAUAGUGGCGGACGGGUGAGUAACGCGUGAACAAUCUGCCCCGUACAAAGGGAUAGCCUCGGGAAACCGGGAUUAAAACCAUAUAACACUUAACUGCCGCAUGGUAGUGAAGUCAAAUCGAGUAAGAGGUAUGGGAUGAGUUCGCGUCUGAUUAGCUAGUUGGUGAGGUAAGGGCUCACCAAGGCGACGAUCAGUAGCCGGCCUGAGAGGGUGAACGGCCACACUGGAACUGAGACACGGUCCAGACUCCUACGGGAGGCAGCAGUGGGGAAUAUUGCACAAUGGAGGGAACUCUGAUGCAGCGACGCCGCGUGAGUGAAGAAGGUCUUCGGAUCGUAAAACUCUGUCCUUGGUGAAGAAAAGGACGGUAGCCAAGGAGGAAGCCCCGGCUAACUACGUGCCAGCAGCCGCGGUAAUACGUAGGGGGCGAGCGUUGUCCGGAUUUACUGGGCGUAAAGGGUGAGUAGGCGGUUAUAUAUGUCAGGUGUAAAAAGCUAUGGCUUAACCAUAGUAAGCACUUGAAACUGUAUGACUUGAGUGCAGGAGAGGUAAGCGGAAUUCCUAGUGUAGCGGUGAAAUGCGUAGAUAUUAGGAGGAACACCGGUGGCGAAGGCGGCUUACUGGACUGUAACUGACGCUGAGUCACGAAAGCGUGGGUAGCAAACAGGAUUAGAUACCCUGGUAGUCCACGCUGUAAACGAUGAGUGCUAGGUGUUGGGUAGCGAUAUUCAGUGCCGGAGUAAACACAAUAAGCACUCCGCCUGGGGAGUACGGUCGCAAGACUGAAACUCAAAGGAAUUGACG